GAUUUCUGAACUUGAAGUGAGAGCACCACCAUCGGAGAUUGUAUUUAAAAGGGUUUGUGUCUCCAUCCUACGAUGCUUCUUAUAAUUGAUGUGGGAUGAGAGGAAACAGUAAUUUCUUUGAGUAACCCCCACCCCCAAUCUCAGUGUAUCAUGUGGCUGAGGUAAGACUCCACUUUGGCCAAUCAGAGCAACCAAUCUCCCCUCCCUAGCGACUGGGAUCUGGAUGGCCAGCGAAAAUCCCUGGACUGUCACGAAAGUGACGGGAGAAAGAUGUUCCCCUUACGCUGGAUUGAACCUGGCAGGCAGCCACCUUGUCACCCCCUGGGACCCAAGAACAAACCAACAUGGGAGCAGAGAGAAGAGGACAGCUGUGUCACCCGAGGCACUAGAUCCGUCUAAGCUUAAAGCCUUGAGCCCCUCGGUUACACAAAAGAAUACCAUCCUUUAAAAAACUGU